rnacentral:tRNA from 1 species
GGGGGUUUAGCUCAGUUGGUAGAGCAUCUGAUUUGCAUUCAGAAGGUCAGGAGUUCGAUUCUCCUAGCCUCCA